CACUACUUUUGAGUUCUGCUUUGAUGGUGCCACGAGGAUCAGAAACUAAAGAGAUUCAAAGCAAGAAUGAAUACAAUACUGAGUGCAGGCUUAAAGAGUCUAUCUUCCUGUAAGUGAUGCUUGUGAGCAGCACUAUUACAGUAUUUAUUGUUCUCCAACAUAAUUAUAACAAAUUGUUGUCCCUUGUUUCAGGUGUGUUGUCAGAUGAGGCUGUGUGGUGAGUAGCUCUAUCACAAGUCAGUGGAGGACCAGGAAAGGAGCAUCCUAGAGAAUGCUGUAGGUUCAUACCGUAAGAUCGCGACACUUUUUAAUAAUUACGAAGCCAGAGGUCGCAUCUUUUGGAGGUUGAAAAAUUAUAUUGAAGCCCUGGUGUCGCAUAUUUAGAGGGUCUCAUCUAAUUGGAGGUAACUUUACAGAGUCUACUUGCCUUGAUUUCAGGCCGCUUAAAAAAACUGAUUUUCCAGUAGGCUACAAUCGAGGCUAGGGAGUGGCUACAUUUAUACCUCUAUUUAGAACGCGACAUUAUAAAAUAAUUAUCAACGUAGCUGUCGCUACUUUUAGAGGUCAGAAAAUUGCUGAAGCUCCUGGGUGUCGCAUAUUUGGAGGGUCGCCUUAAAUCAAGGUCUUACGGUAGUAUAAUUUUAUUAUCUAUAUAAAAAAAAAAUUAUAAUUAUUAUGGCCGUUCAACAAUCCCUAUAAUUACUCUAUACAUUUUGUCCAUCUUGAGAGCAGUGAAAACUCAUCUAAAGACAUUUGUAUUUGAGGGCACUACUCUGAACCUGUGUCCAUCGUGCUUUGUCUGCAUCACCAUGAACCAUGAACCCAGGUUAUGCUGGCUGCUCUGAACUACCAGACAAUCUAAAGGUAACUAUCGGUACUUUCUAUUUAGCCUCUAUGCAUUUCAAUAUUUCUCUCUGUAGGUGUUGUUUCGUACAGUGGCCAUGAUGGUGCCAGACUAUGUCAUGAUUGGAGAGAUCUCUCUCUACUCUUAUGGUUUUGUGGAUGCUCGUAAUCUGGCCGUCAAGAUUGUCAUGACCUAUCGACUGGCAAGACCAAGGUCCUAGAGGUACAUGUACUAGCUGACACACUCACACUACUCAAUGAGAGGGGACAGAUGGAAGAGAACAAGACAGUCAUCAACCCCAAGGCUGUCACUAGGGGUCAACUGUUUGGUCAGUUUGACCCUGUGUCACACGAGUGGACUUAUGGUGUGGUAGCCAACACAUUCAGGGAGUUUGCACCUGCACAAAGUGAUGACCGUAAGUGGGUGGUGUUUGAUGGUCCUAUAGACACUCUGUGGAUGGAGUCCAUGAACACUGUACUGGAUAACAACAAAAAUACAAAAAUUAUGAGAUUGGACGAAUGGUACGCAAGUUAUUGUCGCUCAAAUAGUUGUUAUCCAACCUUGGCCAAGUGCCUUGAGUGGCUUCUCAAGACGGUGAAGAAGAGGAACGAACAGUCGGAAGUGACAUAGAUACUGCUGUUUACCCCCGCCCACUUUUCCGCACAGGGAGGACACCUCGACUGUCUACAGGGAGAACCAGAAGCCGGUGGAUUGGGCCGAUGCUAUGGGUCAGAAUAUCUGUGUCCGCUAUCUCAUGACUUUUUGGGCACUCUCUGGAGAACUG